rnacentral:rRNA from 1 species
UACGAAGGGAGCUAGCGUUGUUCGGAAUCACUGGGCGUAAAGCGCACGUAGGCGGAUGUGUCAGUCAGGGGUGAAAUCCCGGAGCUCAACUUCGGAACUGCCCUUGAUACAGCACGUGUCGAGUCCGAGAGAGGUGAGUGGAAUUCCUAGUGUAGAGGUGAAAUUCGUAGAUAUUAGGAAGAACACCAGUGGCGAAGGCGGCUCACUGGCUCGGUACUGACGCUGAGGUGCGAAAGCGUGGGGAGCAAACAGG